UACGGAGGGGGCUAGCGUUGUUCGGAAUUACUGGGCGUAAAGCGCACGUAGGCGGCUUUGUAAGUUAGAGGUGAAAGCCCAGGGCUUAACCCUGGAAUUGCCUUUAAGACUGCAUCGCUAGAAUCGUGGAGAGGUGAGUGGAAUUCCGAGUGUAGAGGUGAAAUUCGUAGAUAUUCGGAAGAAACACCAGUGGCGAAGGCGGCUCACUGGACCGUUGUUGACGCUGAGGUGCGAAAGCGUGGGGAGCAAACAGG
rnacentral:rRNA from 1 species